rnacentral:rRNA from 1 species
UGGGGAAUAUUGGACAAUGGGCGCAAGCCUGAUCCAGCCAUGCCGCGUGAGUGAUGAAGGCCCUAGGGUUGUAAAGCUCUUUCACCGGUGAAGAUAAUGACGGUAACCGGAGAAGAAGCCCCGGCUAACUUCGUGCCAGCAGCCGCGGUAAUACGAAGGGGGCUAGCGUUGUUCGGAUUUACUGGGCGUAAAGCGCACGUAGGCGGACUUUUAAGUCAGGGGUGAAAUCCCGGGGCUCAACCCCGGAACUGCCUUUGAUACUGGAAGUCUUGAGUAUGGUAGAGGAGAGUGGAAUUCCGAGUGUAGAGGUGAAAUUCGUAGAUAUUCGGAGGAACACCAGUGGCGAAGGCGGCUCACUGGACCGUUACUGACGCUGAGGUGCGAAAGCGUGGGGAGCAAACAGG